AACGCGAAGAACCUUACCUACCCUUGACAUCCUCGGAAUCCUGCAGAAAUGUGGGAGUGCCUUCGGGAACCGAGAGACAGGUGCUGCAUGGCUGUCGUCAGCUCGUGUCGUGAGAUGUUGGGUUAAGUCCCGUAACGAGCGCAACCCUCGUCUUUAGUUGCCAGCGCGUAAUGGCGGGGACUCUAAAGAGACUGCCGGUGAUAAACCGGAGGAAGGUGGGGAUGAUGUCAAGUCAUCAUGGCCUUUAUGGGUAGGGCUACACACGUGCUACAAUGGUCGGUACAAAGGGUUGCCAAGUCGCGAGACGGAGCCAAUCCCAAAAAACCGAUCGUAGUCCAGAUCGGAGUCUGCAACUCGACUCCGUGAAGUUGGAAUCGCUAGUAAUCGCGAAUCAGAAUGUCGCGGUGAAUACGUUCCCGGGCCUUGUACACACCGCUCGCGA
rnacentral:rRNA from 1 species